rnacentral:lncRNA from 1 species
UUUAAACCCAAAACUGAACUUUUUCCAUUCAGCCAGCAUUAGGGUUUUAAACCCUAAACUGAGCUUUUCCAUGCAGUCAGCAUUAGGGUUUUAAACCCUAAACUGAAUUUUUCCUUUAGUCAGCAUUAGGGUUUUAAACCCUAAACUGAACUUUUUCCCAUUCAGCCAGCAUUAGGGUUUUAAACCCUAAACUGAGCUUUUCCAUGCAAUCAGCAUUAGGGUUUUAAACCCUGAACUGAGCUUUUCCAUUUAAUCAGCAUUAGGGUUUUAAACCCUAAACUGAACUCUUUUCCUUUCAGCCAGCAUUAGGGUUUUAAACCCUAAACUGAGCUUUUCCAUGCAAUCAGCAUUAGGGUUUUAAACCCUAAACUGAAUUUUUCCUUUAGUCAGCAUUAGGGUUUUAAACCCUAAACUGAACUUUUUUCCCAUUCAGCCAGCAUUAGGGUUUUAAACCCUGAACUGAGCUUUUCCAUUUAAUCAGCAUUAGGGUUUUAAACCCUAAACUGAACUCUUUUCCUUUCA